rfam:TPA: Bos taurus chromosome 23, whole genome shotgun sequence.
CCAAAGGCUCUUUUCAGAGCCGCCCACAUAGACAAUGAAAAAGGA